UGAGGAAUAUUGGACAAUGGGUGAGAGCCUGAUCCAGCCAUCCCGCGUGAAGGAAGAAGGUUCUAUGGAUUGUAAACUUCUUUUGUAUGGGGAUAAACCUACGUACGUGUACGUAGCUGAAGGUACCAUACGAAUAAGCAUCGGCUAACUCCGUGCCAGCAGCCGCGGUAAUACGGAGGAUGCGAGCGUUAUCCGGAUUUAUUGGGUUUAAAGGGUCUGUAGGCGGAUGAAUAAGUCAGUGGUGAAAUCC
rnacentral:rRNA from 1 species